rnacentral:sRNA from 1 species
ACCAGGUAUGGUGGUGCAUGCCUGCAAUCCCAGUGACGUAGGAGGCUGAGGCAGGAGGAUCACAAGUUCAAAGCCAGCCUCAGCAACUUAGUGAGGCCCUUAGCAACUCAGUGAGACCCUGUCUCUA